rnacentral:rRNA from 1 species
UACGGAGGAUGCAAGCGUUAUCCGGAAUGAUUGGGCGUAAAGCGUCCGCAGGUGGCUAUGUAAGUCUGCUGUUAAAGAGUGAGGCUCAACCUCAUAAGAGCAGUGGAAACUACAUAGCUAGAGUGCGUUCGGGGCAGAGGGAAUUCCUGGUGUAGCGGUGAAAUGCGUAGAUAUCAGGAAGAACACCGGUGGCGAAAGCGGUUCUCUGGGACGGUACUGACGCUGAGACGCGAAAGCGUGGGGAGCGAACAGG